rnacentral:rRNA from 1 species
UGGUGGAGCGAUUUGUCUGGUCAAUUCCGAUAACGAACGAGACUCUAGCCUACUAAAUAGUUCGGGGACCCCCACAAAGGGGCCCCGCUUCAACUUCUUAGAAGGACAGGUGGCGUUUAGCCACACGAGAUUGAGCAAUAACA